GUCUUUCCAGUCCCCAGACCAUUCUACCAGGUUUACUAUUUCAGGUAAAAUUCACCUGCUGCCUGAAUAGAGGAAAUCCCUAAACAGGUAGUUCCAUUACGGACCUCUCUUCUGAUAUUCAUGGGGAUUCUUCUAGGUGUCCUUAUAUCUGGAAUUUACAACCAAUGUGUGGCUUUAAAUGGUUGAUUCAUCAUGCAUAAUGU